UUCUCUGUGCAGCUUUUGGAGCCUAUCCUGGAACUCAUUCUGUAGACCAGGCUGGCUUCGAACUCACAGAGAUCUGCCUGCCUCUGCCUCCUGAGUGCUGGGAUUAAAGGUGUGCACCACACUGCCCAGCCUUAAGAUUUAUUUUUAUUAGUGUGUGUGUUGCGGGGGUGGUACCAUGUGUAUGCAGGUACCCAUGGAGGCUAUAGGAUGUUAGAUCCCUUGAAGCUAGAGUUACAGGCAGUUGUGAGGCACAAUGGAUGCCAGGAACUGAACUCUGGUCCUCUGGAAGAGCAGCAGGUGCUUUUAACCACCGGAUCUCUGUGAGUUUGAGGCCAGCCUGGUCUACAGAGCGAGUUCCAGGAUAGCUAGGACUGUUACACAGAGAAACCCUGUCUUGAACGUCCCCCCCCCCAAAAAAAAAGAGAAGGAGUUAUACCACAUCUCACAGAGAUACAUGAGACAACAUUCAUGUGGACCUCAAGCAGAGAAAACACGACUGAGUUAAGUGUUUUACAGAAAGGAAAAGGCAAAGCUGGGUAAACCUGUUUCAGGACAGAUCUUGGGUAGUAUGGGGUUGCCCUUAAUUGUCUCCAAGUGUCCCUGAUGUAAUUAGGGCAGGAAGAUCUAGAAUGGAGAGCAGAUAAGGUGGGCCACAAAGGGAGUCUGGGUUUCCAGGCCUGGGAUUGGUUGGUUUACAUAUGGAAAGUGAAUUGACAGCCACAGCAGAUUUGCCUUCACUGGGAAUGAGCCAUCUGGAGCAGGGCAGCCUCCCCGAAGGAUGAGCGUGACCUGGUGUUAGUGCAUCCGAAUUACGGGAGGGAAAAGAUGUGGUUAAUAGAAUGUCACUGAGUAGUCAAGUAAGUAGGAAGUGAACAUUUGGGAAAUUUGGGGUAUUAUUUUUUUUGUCAUUUCUAGAAUAACAUCUUUCAAUUUCCUGAAGUGGUUGUUUUAUUUGCUUGGUGGUGUUUGUCCGUCAGCAAAGGUUUUAAGGUUUUACCAUAUUACAGAACUUUUAUUAAAUUUGUUCCUGGACGUAUAUGGGUUUCAUUAUUGAUGAAAGUAUGUUCUCAGUUUCCACUGUAUUUUAUGUGUAGUUCUUGUAAUUUUGUGUGUUGAUUUUAUACUUAAUAUUUACUUCUUGAGACGGGUUUUCAUAUAACCCACACUGGCCUUGAGUUCACUAUGUAGCUGAUGACCAUGAACUUCUGAUCCUCCUGCCUUCACCUUCUAAGAGCUGGGAGUCCAGGCCUGUACCACUGUGCCCCAUUUAUUCAGGGCUUUGUGCAUAUUAUUGCAAGUUUUCUACCAACUGAGCUACAUCCUCAGCCCUGCAGCCCUGAAGGAAUUAAUUAUCUUUUUUUUUUUCUUCCUCGAGACAGGGUUUCUCCGUGUAACAGCCCUGUCUGUCCUGGAACUCAUUUUGUAGAUGUGGCUGGCCUCAAACUCACAGAGAUCCUCCUGCCUCUGCCUCCCGAGUGCUAAUCCUAAAGCUGUGUACCACCACUGCCCGGCUGGAAUUAAUUAUCUUGGGACUUUUCCUUUCUCAUCUAGUGGCUUGUAUUUGCAAAUCAAUGUUCAGUUGUAUUGGUGGGCAGGUGUGCUUCUAAAUGUUUCAGAAUCACCACAUCCCUUCUCAACUUUCCUCUUCAGGAGCAAAAGAUGACAGGAAACCUCCAAUGAGCAUUUCUUGGGGCUGCAGUGUUCGCAUACUGUUACAGUUUUUAAAUGUUCUCCCAAAUAGAUUUGAAGUGUUCUCCAAAAGCCCAUGCGCUAAAUGCAUGACUGCCAGGCUGUGGUAUUGGGAAGUUAGGAGGUGGAGGAACCUUUAAAAGUGGGACUGGCGGUGGUGGUGCACGCCUUUAAUCCCAGCACUCAGGAGGCAGAGUCAGGUGGAUCUCUGUGAGUUUGAGGCCGGCCUGAUGUGGGACCUAGUUGGAGGAAGUUAGGUCACUGGGGGUGUGCUCUUGAAGGGUGUAUCGAAACCAUGACCCUUCCUCUCUCUCUGUGCUUCCUAGUUGCUAUGAGGCCAGCAUGCUCUAUUAUAUGCUCCCUAACAUGAUGUCCUACCUUGCCACAGGCCCCAAACAGUGGAACCUACCAAAAUAGACUGAGCCCUCAGAAAACAUAAGCCAGAAUAAAAAUUUCCUGCAGCAUUGAGGCCAGUGGCAAAGACCAACAUUGAACCAGCUGAUUUUUUGUGGUCUUAACUUUGGAGAAUCGUGGGCCAGCUUUUCUUUGGUGAGUCAACCAGGAUGGCAGUAGUCCCUCUCCUUUCCCACAGAGGUGGAGGCACUAGUAAAGGGCUGUCGACCCGGGUCCUUUUGAGAGACCAGUGAUAAUGCAUGGGGACUUUGAAAAGGCCUGUUGAGCCACCAGAUGAGGGUGUAGAUCAGACCCCAGAGGAAAGGGAGAGAGGAGGCGUCCAUGCUUCAGCAAGGCAAAGAAGAGGGAACAAAGCUUCUCCCAGAGAAGGGCCACCUUCCUGUCCUUGCUGGACUCCCUGGUGGGGGAUAGCACAAUACCUGUGGCCAUGGUGCAAACACAUGGCAAACUUGAGAGUGGCAACUGGGGCUCUUGUCUCAGGCGUGCCUCCACAGUUGGAAGGAGAGUCUCUUGGUGCCCCAGGCGUAUCCUGAAGGUCUCCUUGCAACUGCCUUUAGACUGAGGUGGAAACCCGUGAGGCACAGUUCAUUCUGUGGGACAGAUCCAAGGAGGUGACCCAAAUGUCUGCAGCUGUCCAUUUUAGAUAGUAUCUCGGGGGAAAGGCUUUGAGGAUGACGAGUCCACACGGGCUCUGCUUUGGUAGGUGUUCACCCUCUCAGAGCAUCGGCCUCCUCUUCUCUAGUGAGGGUGGUAGAAAACCUAACUUAGAGUUAUGUGGCUGAGAUACUGUUCAUGGAAAUGCUUAGCCGCCAACAGGGGAGCACACCUCCCCCCCACUCUGGCCUCUGCUCACAUGUUGGUUCAGCAGAAGUCCAGCUCAGGCCCAUCGUCCCCCAGCCGUACAGUGACCAUGUGUCUGGCAGUCUGAGGAGCCAACCACAGACAACGUUCCCCUGGGCAGGUUUCCUUCCACACCUCAGCACAAGGCUGCACUGUAUUGUUAGCUCAGGAAAGGCCCAUUCAUCUGAGGCAAACUGAAUUAGCCAGCAGUCGGCAGCCAGGAAGUCACAUGCUGCAUUCCCAAACCAAGUAGAAAUUAGUUUUAAAUUAUUUGUUGGUUGCUAUUAUCUGUGCCACAGCUCUCUCCUAUUAGGGCCCAUCAGAGCAAAUUGACUGCAGUCGAUGAAUGGAUGUGUGGCAAGCCGUUUGCGGGUGUGGGGCUGUCCCUUCAUGUGUGAGCAGUGGAGUCCGCAGCCCGCCUAUCACAGGGCAAUCAACUGAGGGGCUUCAGAUAAUUUCGAUGAAACAUAUUGGAAUCUUCAGGUGGGACCCACACAGCCACACUGUUUAAAGUCCCCUCUGCCCCAUAAGUUUCCAGUGUGCUGUACAGUUUAAGAACAAGUAAAACAGUUUCAAAGCUUCCACUUCUAAUCAUGGGGACAAACUGACCUUGAAGAAAGCACGGUCUAUUUCCUUUUCUUUUACAUUUAUUUUAUUUUCUGUAUACUGAAGUUUGUCUUCUUGUAUCUGUGGACCAUGUGUGUGGCUGGUACUCGGGGAGGCCAGAAGUGGGCUGUGGUGAUGUGGAUGAGAAUGGCCCGCAUUGGCUCAUAUGUUUGAAUACUUGGUCCCGGUGAGUGGAACUAUCCGGGAAGGAUGAGAUGCGGCCUUGUUGGAGGAGGUGCGUCACUGGGGACAGGCUUUUAAAGUUUCAGAAGACUCAUGUGAUUCCCAGUGCUCACUCUCUCUCUGUCUCAUGAGUUGUAGAUUAAGAUGUGAGCUCUUGGCUGUUCCUUCUCUCCACCAUCAUGGACUCCAACCCUCUGAAACCAUACGUCAAAUGAAAUUCUUCUAUAAAUUGCUUUGGUCAUGGUGUUUUAUCACACAGUAGAAAAGUAACUAAGACAGAAGCCGUUUUGCCUGCUUGCCCUCAUUCUUGCUGGGAAGUUCGUCUACCCUGUUACUGAGACAUUCCUGUUCUGGUGUUAGAACCCACUUCCUUAGGAAUUCCAACAGACUGAAGACCAGCAGCUCCUAGGACUUCCCUGGCACUCCAGCACUAGGAGUGCUGAGAAACUGCUGAGACAUCCAGUCCGAACAACUUCCAUGUUCUUGGCCUUUCUGUUGAGAGACGUCCACUAUUGGACUGCUCAGACCAUGGACUAUUAGCCACUCUAAUAAAUCCCGUGUGUGUGUGUGUGUGUGUGUGUGUGUGUGUGUGUGUGUGUGUGUAUUCAUUCUAUCGGUUCUGUUCCUUCAGAGAACCCUGACUAAUACUAGGGCAUUGGACCCCCUGGAAUUGAAAUUACAGAUGGUUGUGAGCCACCAUGUGGAUACUGGGAACCUGGGUUCCUGGAAGAGCAGCCAGUACUCUAAAAGGUGAGUACUUAAGCCCCCAGGACUUAAGUCUCUUUUAAGUAUUUAGUUUGUUUUAGUGUUACGACUGACUCCGAAGUGUCUUCCAUAAAGGCCCGUAUGUCUAAGGCUUGGUUUCCAAUGCAGUGUUCAGAGAUGAGGCUUUAGGGAAGUGACCAGACCAUGAGGGCUCUGUCUUAGUGGGUAAAGCCAUUGAUGGACUAUAAUUUGAUAGUGUAUUGGGAGGUGAUGGGGACUAGGAGAUGGUCUUGAAGGGUAUUCUCUCUCUCUGCUCUCCCCUUCCCACCUCUUCUCUUCUCCCUGCCCCUCCCCUCCCUUCCCUGCCCCGUCCUUUUCUUCUUUGCCAUCGUAAGGUAAGCACCCCACCAAAGCUCUCAUUGCUGUGAAGUUUUGCUUUACCUACCACCCAAGGCAUGGAUCCUGCCAACUAAGGGUUGUAACCUGAAAUCAUGAACCAAAUACAGUUUUCUUUCUUACGUUGUUUUUCUCAAGUGUUUUUGUCACAGCAAUAAAAAUUUAAGAACCGUA